GAUGAAGAACGUAGCGAACUGCGAUAAGUAAUGUGAAUUGCAGAAUUCAGUGAAUCAUCGAGUCUUUGAACGCACAUUGCGCCCCCUGGCAUUCCGGGGGGCAUGCCUGUCCGAGCGUCAUUGCUGCCCUUCAAGCCCGGCUUGUGUGUUGGGUCGUCGUCCCCCCCGGGGGACGGGCCCGAAAGGCAGCGGCGGCACCGCGUCCGGUCCUCGAGCGUAUGGGGCUUUGUCACCCGCUCGAUUAGGGCCGGCCGGGCGCCAGCCGGCGUCUCCAACCUUCUAUUUUACCAGGUUGACCUCGGAUCAGGUAGGGAUACCCGCUGAACUUAAGCAUAUCAAUAAGGGAGGA
rnacentral:misc_RNA from 1 species